UACGGAGGGAGCUAGCGUUGUUCGGAAUUACUGGGCGUAAAGCGCGCGUAGGUGGCUUUGUAAGUUAGAGGUGAAAGCCCGGGGCUCAACCCCGGAACUGCCUUUAAGACUGCAUCGCUUGAAUCCGGGAGAGGUGAGUGGAAUUCCGAGUGUAGAGGUGAAAUUCGUAGAUAUUCGGAAGAACACCAGUGGCGAAGGCGGCUCACUGGACCGGCAUUGACGCUGAUGUGCGAAAGCGUGGGGAGCAAACAGG
rnacentral:rRNA from 1 species